rnacentral:rRNA from 1 species
GCCAUGCGGCGUGCUAAUACAUGCAGUCGAGCGCAGGAAAUAAACAGAACCCUUCGGGGUGAUGUUUAUGGAAUGAGCGGCGGACGGGUGAGUAACACGUGGGCAACCUGCCUGUAAGAUCGGGAUAACUCGCGGAAACGUGAGCUAAUACCGGAUAACACUUUUCAUCUCAUGGUGAGAAGAUAAAAGACGGUUUCGGCUGUCACUUACAGAUGGGCCCGCGGCGCAUUAGCUAGUUGGUGAGGUAACGGCUCACCAAGGCGACGAUGCGUAGCCGACCUGAGAGGGUGAUCGGCCACACUGGGACUGAGACACGGCCCAGACUCCUACGGGAGGCAGCAGUAGGGAAUCUUCCGCAAUGGACGAAAGUCUGACGGAGCAACGCCGCGUGAGUGAUGAAGGUUUUCGGAUCGUAAAACUCUGUUGUUAGGGAAGAACAAGUUGGGUAGUAACUGACCCGACCUUGACGGUACCUAACCAGAAAGCCACGGCUAACUACGUGCCAGCAGCCGCGGUAAUACGUAGGUGGCAAGCGUUGUCCGGAAUUAUUGGGCGUAAAGCGCUCGCAGGCGGUCUUUUAAGUCUGAUGUGAAAGCCCACGGCUUAACCGUGGAGGGUCAUUGGAAACUGGAGGACUUGAGUACAGAAGAGGAGAGUGGAAUUCCACGUGUAGCGGUGAAAUGCGUAGAGAUGUGGAGGAACACCAGUGGCGAAGGCGACUCUCUGGUCUGUAACUGACGCUGAGGAGCGAAAGCGUGGGUAGCGAACAGGAUUAGAUACCCUGGUAGUCCACGCCGUAAACGAUGAGUGCUAUGUGUUAGGGGGUUUCCGCCCCUUAGUGCUGAAGUUAACGCAUUAAGCACUCCGCCUGGGGAGUACGGCCUGCCACGCUGAAACUCAAAAGAAUUGACAGGGGCCCGCACAAUCUGUGGAGCAUGUGGUUUAAUUCGAAGCAACGCGCAGAACCUUACCAGGUCUUGACAUCUCUGAUACCUCUAGC